UGGGGAAUAUUGGGCAAUGGGCGAAAGCCUGACCCAGCAACGCCGCGUGAAGGACGAAGGCCUUCGGGUUGUAAACUUCUUUGAUCAGGGACGAAACAAAUGACGGUACCUGAAGAACAAGCCACGGCUAACUACGUGCCAGCAGCCGCGGUAAUACGUAGGUGGCGAGCGUUAUCCGGAUUUACUGGGUGUAAAGAGCGUGUAGGCGGGUUUGCAAGUCGGAUGUGAAAUUCCCGGGCUUAACUCGGGCGGGUCAUCCGAAACUGCAGAUCUUGAGUACUGGAGAGGAUAGUGGAAUUCCUAGGGUAGCGGUAAAAUGCGUAGAUAUUAGGAGGAACAUCAGUGGCGAAGGCGACUAUCUGGACAGUAACUGACGCUGAUGCGCGAAAGCGUGGGGAGCAAACA
rnacentral:rRNA from 1 species